UAAACACACACUUGACCCCGGAAUCAGUCUGAAUGAUUGGAGAAGGUCGAACAGUCAGUCACAGGCUGAAGUCCAUGCCUACAAGGUGUUUGUGAUUAUUAAAUAAAUGAAGCAUUUGUAAGAAAAUGUGCCACCAGACUAAAUAGACCUGGGAACAAUAUAACAGAACGCUGUUAAGCACACAAUUCUUUUGGUGGGAGAAGUUCAUGACCAUAAUUGAGAGUAACCUACUAAUCGCUAAUUUUCAGUCUGCCUUGGGCACUUUGGUCAAUAUAUUUCAUGGAUGAAAAGGAGACAUUGGCUAGUGCAUUGUGUUUAUUAAACAGAGAUAUCUGAAGAAAACAAUUCCAAAUGUAUACCAAGCUGCCAUAACUACAUAAUCCUUUUUAAAAAUAUACACAUGCAUAUAUAGACACACUUACAUUUAUAUAUAUGCACACUAAUGCAUGUAGAAAGAUAGACAAAUACAUAGAUGCAUAGAAAAUUAGAAAGAAAGGCCACACACUUUAUCUAUAGGUAUAUAGUAUGUGGAGCUGGCUCAUAUUGGCUUACAAAAGCAAUUUUUCUCAAAUCCACAUUAGGUCUCAUCAUGUUAGUGGCGUCAUAUGAGCCAUAGUGGGGAUAUUUACCCUAUGAAAUUGGUAAAUACUAUAAAUAUGGGCUUGGGGGAGAUUCACUGUAGGGGAAAAGCCAGUUCUGAAACUUUUACCAGCACACCACCUGUUAUGUGUAUGUGUAUACAGAUAUGCACAAACACACACUCUCAACUAUUUUAGAACUCUUGCAAUAUAGGGAUGCCUAGGUGGCUCAGUUGGUUAAGUGUGUGCCUUUGCCUCAGGUCAUGAUCCCAAGGUCCUGGGCUCAAGCCCACCACAGGAUCCCUGCUCUGUGGGGAGCCGCUUCUCCCUCUGCCUCUGCCCCAUCCCCUGCUCCUGCAUUCUUGCUCGCUUGCUCUCUCUUUCU